ensembl:lncRNA
CGUCAAUGUCAGCGGUGACAGUCACAUUAAAACAGAUUUGAAACCUUUAAACAAAUCAGUAUGGAUCUUCUAUUUGAUCUUCCAGAACAUUCUCAGACAUGACUCUGGUCAGUAUCAGUGUCAAGGUGGAGGGAGUACGAGUCAUGCCAUCACUGUCAAUGUCUAUGAUCAUGCUGAAAUUACCACUAUUACACAGAAUAAUCUCACAGGUAAGAAAGGUUUUAUAUAAUUUGUGUUGUUGUAGCUUUAUUAAAUCCAAACUGACUGAAACCUGUUUUUCUUGCAGUCAGCACGACUUCUGUUCCUGACAAUACAGAAACCUUGUUGCUGUACGUGUACUCUGCUGCUGGGAUCACCACAUUCGUCAUCAUAGUCAUAAUCAUAUCUGUCAUAUCAAUGCGAGGCUGUAAAGGGAAGCCAAAGAAAGACAGUCAAGUUGAAAAUCAGAUGGAGAUCCCCAUGGUGGAUCAAUUCUUUUCAAAAGUCAUCUUCAAG